GACGAACGCUGGCGGCGUGCCUAAUACAUGCAAGUCGAGCGAAGCGGCGGUUGGGUGAGCAACGCGUGGGUAACCUGCCCUUAAGUCUGGGAUAUCAUUUGGAAACAGAUGCUACUACCGGAUACUAAAGGAUGGACCUGCGAUGCAUUAGCUAGUUGGGUAGGCUACGGCUUACCAAGGCGAUGAUGCAUAGCCGAGUUGAGAGGCUGAUCGGCCACAUUGGGACUGAGACACGGCCCAGACUCCUACGGGAGGCAGCAGUAGGGAAUCUUCCACAAUGGACGAAAGUCUGAUGGAGCAACGCCGCGUGAGUGAAGAAGGUUUUCGGAUCGUAAAGCUCUGUUGUUGGUGAAGCGGUAAUCAACCAGCAAGCCACGGCUAACUACGUGCCAGCAGCCGCGGUAAUAC
rnacentral:rRNA from 1 species